AAAAUUGCAUUAAGUCAUGUUCAGACCCUUUUACAGAAAAUAAAGGAAUAUGGAGUAAGUGUGCACGAAACCUAAUCGCACAAAAAGGCAAUGCAUAAAAAAAAUACUAAUGAUCAAUCAUUUGGUCAAAGUUGCUGGAGGGUCUUCAACAAAAAAAGAAUCAUUAAUACCGUAAAACAGAGUCAAGAUGUUCCCUUGUGUCGACUUAAGCAGUACUAGUAUUCAAAGCAUACUACUGCACUGUCACAAUAUUUCAAUCUAUCCAUAAAAAUAUCACCAAAGUCUAAGCACAAUACAAGAC
rnacentral:lncRNA from 1 species